CUGGGAUUAGAUACCCCACUAUGCCUGGCAGUAAACCUUAACUACACCCCAAAUCGCCCGGGAACUACGAGCGAAGCUUAAAACCCAAAGGACUUGACGGUACCCCAAAUCCACCUAGAGGAGCCUGUCCUAUAAUCGAUAACCCCCGCUUUACCUCACCACUUCUAGCUAAUCAGCCUGUAUACCUCCGUCGUCAGCUUACCCCGUGAGCGAAAUAGUGAGCUUAAUGCCACUUCACCAACACGUCAGGUCAAGGUGCACUAUGARGUGGGAAGAGAUGGGCUACACUCCCUACCUAGGRACACRAAAAACUACCAUGAAAUCUAGUUUGAAGGCGGAUUUAGAAGUAAAAAGAAACCAGAAAGUUCUUUUUAAUUCGGCACUGGGGUGCGUACACACCGCCCGUCACCCUC
rnacentral:rRNA from 1 species